UACAUUGUAUUUCAGCAGCUAGAGCCUGUCUGGGGGACAGGGGGUCGUCGGUUCAAGUCCGGCCACUCCGACCA
rnacentral:tRNA from 1 species